AUCAGUGGACAGUGCAGUAUCGUAGCCAAUGAGGUUAAUCCGAGGCGUGAUUAUUGCUAAUUGAAAACUUAAAUGGUAGG
rnacentral:snRNA from 1 species